rnacentral:sRNA from 2 species
GGGCAGCCAUCGCCGAGUCCCCGUCAGGCGCGAGCCUGGGGAGCCGGGGACCCACGCAGUCCCUGGGGUGAAUCGGCCGCCUUCGCCCGUGCGGAGGGGGCCGUAGGAGACCUUCCUGCUCCGAACCCGUCAGCUAACCCGGUAGGCGAGAAGGAAGGAAAG